UUUUGUUAGAUGGCGAGCAUUAUACUGUAAACUGAAAAAAUGUCAGGAAAACAGCGAAACCUUCCAUCGUGGAUGACUUCGACUAGUGUUAACAGAGAAAGAGAAGAGAAAGACAGAAGACGGUCAAAGCGGAAGGAUAACCGUUCAGCGAGAGUCACACUGUACUGGAUGAAUGAACAGGAGCUAGUGCAGACAGCUGUCAGUCUCCUCGCCGAAGUAACGAACCAAGAACAUGUCCAGAAGAGCUCUGUGGCUGAUGAGAAGCUUCCUCCAAACAGUGAUGGAGUGAUGGGAGGGAAAGUACUGGAAACUGAGGCCAUGGAGGAGACAUCAGACUGUGAUGCAUGUGUAAAAUUACAUGUAUCAGAAGCAGAUAUGGACAUUGCUGAGGUGGAGACCUUGCCUUAUAUCAGUAACAUGCAGAGGAAAGACAGAAGGCAAGGUUCAAACACAGACUGUGACCUGACAUGUUUCUGAGGACUCAGGGGGUCUCGAGCAGGACCAGUCACAGAAGGGCAGUGCUAACAAUGAGGCUCUGCGGCUUGUCCGAGCAAUCUUUUUCUCCUGACACAUCACCACGGAAAUGACUCAUCGGAGUUGAGACAGGGUCUAGCUAUGGUUUACCGGCACAGAACUACACUAGUUGGCAGAGGAGUGCUGAUCCAGUAAUCUGUACACAUCCAGUUUUCAGAAAGUCUACAAAAAGAGAAACAUAAUCAAUUUGUCGUCAGAGAUUUGGAUAGGUGGAAAGUUAUACUUGUGAGGUAAUGUGUUUGUGAUUCAAGGAUCUCAAACAGCACAGAUUGAGGUACAGGGUUAUUUUUACCAGCACAUCAUUGACAAGAAGCUCUGACCACUUGACUGUACAGGUGUAACACAUUUUUACAUCUCGCAGACUCUUGAUAGAAUGUGUGGUGCUGAAUCUUAUUUGAAGAGAAGGAGCAGCCUUUCCUUUAACGUUAUAGAACGGUCUUAUACUACACUAAUUUAUGGUUUUAUUAGAGGCGCUAUUUGUGUCAGCAAAGAAUUUUUGUUUACGUUGUUUUAAAUGCCAAAUGAUUAUCCUGAAUUAAAAUAAGUCUUGCCAGCACAAAAUCUAUUGAGUAAUGUACCAAGAUGUCUCAGCGGUUAGUAACAGUGACCAGUAGGCAAUUUGUCGGCAGAUGAGGGGGGAUGCCAUCCCUCUUGUUAGCAAAAUGACCAAAAUGGAACCCCCUUGUUAAUCUGUCAUCCCCCUAUAUUCUCUAUAGAGUCAGUGACCAUUGGACUAUCACCUCUGUUAAAAAAUAACAAAUCACCUACUGCCAAUGACUGUAAAAAGUACAUUACAUUCUCAGAGCAAGUGCGACGAGGCAGCUUCUACAUGAACCAUCUGCGAUACUGUUUUUUUGUUGUUGUUGUUGUUUUUGAAUGAAUGUAUCAAAAAACGAACUAUUUAUUUAUGACAAGGCAGUUGUCAAACUGUAACGAAGGGCAAACUAUACUUGUUAGGUGUGGAACAUAAGUUGCAUAAUAUACGUUGAAUUUAAAAGAUGUUCUAUGUUCAUAACGCUGAGCUGACCUGA